GACGAACGCUGGCGGCGUGCCUAAUACAUGCAAGUAGAACGCUGAAGGAGGAGCUUGCUCUUCUGGAUGAGUUGCGAACGGGUGAGUAACGCGUAGGUAACCUGCCUGGUAGCGGGGGAUAACUAUUGGAAACGAUAGCUAAUACCGCAUAAGAGUAGAUGUUGCAUGACAUUUACUUAAAAGGUGCAAUUGCAUCACUACCAGAUGGACCUGCGGUGUAUUAGCUAGUUGGUGGGGUAACGGCUUACCAAGGCGACGAUACAUAGCAGACCUGAGAGGGUGGUCGGCCACACUGGGACUGAGACACGGCCCAGAGUCCUACGGGAGGCAGCAGGAGGGAAUCGUCGGGCAUGGACGGAAGUCUGACCGAGCAACGCCGCGUGAGUGAAGAAGGUUUUCGGAUCGUAAAGCUCUGUUGUAAGAGAAGAACGAGUGUGAGAGUGGAAAGUUCACACUGUGACGGUAUCUGACCAGAAAGGGACGGCUAACUACGUG
rnacentral:rRNA from 1 species